UACGAAGGGGGCUAGCGUUGUUCGGAAUUACUGGGCGUAAAGCGCACGUAGGCGGAUUGUUAAGUCAGAGGUGAAAUCCCGGAGCUCAACUUCGGAACUGCCUUUGAUACUGGCAAUCUAGAGUCCGGAAGAGGUUAGUGGAAUUCCCAGUGUAGAGGUGAAAUUCGUAGAUAUUCGCAAGAACACCAGUGGCGAAGGCGGCUCACUGGCCCGAUACUGACGCUGAGGCACGAAAGCGUGGGGAGCGAUCCGG
rnacentral:rRNA from 1 species